rnacentral:lncRNA from 1 species
GGAAAAGGCCGCUCGCUCGAGAUUGCGCGCAAUUCUUGUUAACCCUUUGAGGACAGCUUCAAUAGAAUUAUGAUUUCAAUGUAACCUAGUAAAAAAGGUUCCCUGAUGGUUUCAGAUUCCACAUUGCAACAACUUUUUAAAAACUACUUACUGCUUUUAGUGUUGGAUCUAAGAAGAAUAUCUACAAUUAUUUGAAAGGGAUUUUUCCCCAACUACUUUCUGUAUGUGACCAGGUUUUCCUCAUAAACUUCAACAAAAAAGAAAAACCUUGUGGUAGGCUGAUAAUGACUUCCAAAGAUGUCCGUGUUCUAAUCCCUGGAAUUUGUGUUACCUCGUGGUAAAACUUUUACAGAUGAGAUGAAGUUAAGGAUCUUUAGGUAAAGAGAUUAUCAUGGAUUACCUGAGUGGAUUAUUGAUGUUAUCUCAAGCAUCCUGUUAAGAGAGAAGGGAGAUUAGCCACCCAACACAGAAGUGAAAUUGAUGUGAAGAUGAAGGCAGAGAUUAGUGUGAUGCCUCUAAAAGUCAAGCAAUGCCAGCAGUUACCAAAAGCUGGAAGAAGAAGCUUCUCUAGAGCCUCCAGAGGGAACGUUUUCCUGCCCACACUUUGACUUUGGCCCAGUGAAACUGGUAUUGAACUUUCUGGCCUCCAGAACUAUGAGGGAAUAAAUUUCUGUAGUUUUGAGCCACCAAGUUUGUGAUAAUUUGUUAAACAGCAACCACAGGAAACUAAUACAAACCCCAAAUCAACAGAUUACGUGCAGAACCAGACAUGACAAUGCAAUGUUUUAUAUUAAUCCUGACAUUAAAGAGACUUGCAAAGUUGUAAAACAGUGACACAGUUCUUUAAUUGUUUUGGAAUUUGAUAUACAGUCAGCUCUCCAUAUCCACGUGAUCCAUAUCCCCAAGGAUUUAACCAACUGUGGAUCAAAAUCCACCAUGGAUGAAAAACCCUCAGAUGAAGAAGGCUAAUUAAGGGACUCAAGCAUCCACCAAUUUUGAUAUCCACGAGGGUCCUAGAAUCAAUCCCCUGAGGAUACUGAGG